rnacentral:rRNA from 1 species
GAUGAACGCUGGCGGCGUGCCUAAUACAUGCAAGUCGGACGGAGCGCUUCGGCGCUCAGUGGCGAACGGGUGAGUAGCACAUGGGCAACCUGCCCUUCAGAGGGGGACAACAGCUGGAAAUGGCUGCUAAUACCGCAUAAGCGCACAGUACCGCAUGGUACAGUGUGAAAAACUCCGGUGGUAUGAGAUGGACCCGCGUCUGAUUAGCUGGUUGGUGGGGUAACGGCCCACCAAGGCGACGAUCAGUAGCCGGCCUGAGAGGGUGAACGGCCACAUUGGGACUGAGACACGGCCCAA